rnacentral:rRNA from 1 species
UACGUAGGUGGCAAGCGUUGUCCGGAAUUAUUGGGCGUAAAGCGCGCGCAGGCGGUCCUUUAAGUCUGAUGUGAAAGCCCACGGCCCAACCGUGGAGGGUCAUUGGAAGCGGGGGGACUUGAGUGCAGAAGAGGAGAGUGGAAUUCCACGUGUAGCGGUGAAAUGCGUAGAGAUGUGGAGGAACACCAGUGGCGAAGGCGACUCUCUGGUCUGUAACUGACGCUGAGGCGCGAAAGCGUGGGGAGCAAACAGG